UAGGGAAUCUUCGGCAAUGGGGGGAACCCUGACCGAGCAACGCCGCGUGAGUGAAGAAGGUUUUCGGAUCGUAAAGCUCUGUUGUUAAGGAAGAACGUGUGUGAGAGCGGAAAGUUCACACAGUGACGGUACUUAACCAGAAAGGGACGGCUAACUACGUGCCAGCAGCCGCGGUAAUACGUAGGUCCCGAGCGUUGUCCGGAUUUAUUGGGCGUAAAGCGAGCGCAGGCGGUUAGAUAAGUCUGAAGUGAAAGGCAGUGGCUCAACCAUUGUAGGCUUUGGAAACUGUUUAACCUGAGUGCAGAAGGGGAGAGUGGAAUUCCAUGUGUAGCGGUGAAAUGCGUAGAUAUAUGGAGGAACACCGGUGGCGAAAGCGGCUCUCUGGUCUGUAACUGACGCUGAGGCUCGAAAGCGUGGGGAGCGAACAGGAUUAGAUACCCUGGUAGUCCACGCCGUAAACGAUGAGUGCUAGGUGUUAGGUCCUUUCCGGGACUUAGUGCCGCAGCUAACGCAUUAAGCACUCCGUCUGGGGAGUACGACCGCAAGGUU
rnacentral:rRNA from 1 species